CCCUUAGAUGUUCUGGGCUGCACGCGCGCUACACUGAAGCGUUCAACGAGUAUUCACCUUGCCCGGGAGGGUUGGGUAAUCUUUUGAAAACGCUUCGUGAUGGGGAUAGAUUAUUGCAAUUAUUAAUCUUCAACGAGGAAUUCCUAGUAAGCGCGAGUCAUCAGCUCGUGCUGAUUACGUCCCUGCCCUUUGUACACACCGCCCGUCGCUCCUACCGAUUGAAGUUUUCGGUGAGUUGACAGGAGGAUUUUUUUGAAACUGGUUCGCCAGUGGAUUUUAGAUCCAAAUGCCAACGAAUCGAUGGCUUUAGAGGAAGGAGAAGUCGUAACA
rnacentral:rRNA from 1 species